AUAACAGUAGUGUUGGUCCUGGUCUCCAGGCUGUCAGGUAAAUGAUUAUAACAGUAGUGUUGGUCCUGGUCUCCAGGCUGUCAGGUAGAUGAUUAUAACAGUAGUGUUGGUCCUGGUCUCCAGGCUGUCAGGUAAAUGAUUAUAACAGUAGUGUUGGUCCUGGUCUCCAUGCUGUCAGGUAGAUGAUUAUAACAGUAGUGUUGGUCCUGGUCUCCAGACUGUCAGGUAGAUGAUUAUAACAGUAGUGCUGGUCUCCAGGCUGUCAGGUAGAUGAUUAUAACAGUAGUGUUGGUCUCCAGACUGUCAGGAUGAUGAUUAUAA
rnacentral:lncRNA from 1 species